UACAGAGGUCUCGAGCGUUGUUCGGAUUCAUUGGGCGUAAAGAGCUCGUAGGCGGCCAGUUGCGUCUGCUGUGAAAUCCCGGGGCUCAACCCCGGGCGUGCAGUGGAUACGGGCUGGCUAGAGGCAGGCAGGGGAGAACGGAAUUCCCGGUGUAGCGGUGAAAUGCGCAGAUAUCGGGAGGAACACCGGUGGCGAAGGCGGUUCUCUGGGCCUGUACUGACGCUGAGGAGCGAAAGCGUGGGGAGCGAACAGG
rnacentral:rRNA from 1 species